AUUGAACGCUGGCGGCAUGCCUUACACAUGCAAGUCGAACGGUAACAGGUCUUCGGAUGCUGACGAGUGGCGAACGGGUGAGUAAUACAUCGGAACGUGCCUAGUAGUGGGGGAUAACUACUCGAAAGAGUGGCUAAUACCGCAUGAGAUCUACGGAUGAAAGCAGGGGAUCGCAAGACCUUGUGCUACUAGAGCGGCCGAUGGCAGAUUAGGUAGUUGGUGGGAUAAGAGCUUACCAAGCCGACGAUCUGUAGCUGGUCUGAGAGGACGAUCAGCCACACUGGGACUGAGGCACGGCCCAGACUCCUACGGGAGGCAGCAGUGGAGAAUUUUGGACAAUGGGCGCAAGCCUGAUCCAGCAAUGCCGCGUGCAGGAUGAAGGCCUUCGGGUUGUAAACUGCUUUUGUACGGAACGAAAAGCCCUGGGUUAAUACCCUGGGGUCAUGACGGUACCGUAAGAAUAAGCACCGGCUAACUACGUGCCAGCCGCCGCAGUAAUAC
rnacentral:rRNA from 1 species